AAGCAAACUUACGGCAGUUUUGCCAUUUGAUUCAAAUUCUGGGAUUCCUUCCCUUUGUACCGGAGGAAAUGGUAACAUCCUAGAAGACAAGGAAUAUGAGAGAAGGCUGAAUUGUAAAGACUAUCACCAUCUGCAAUCAGUGGAGGGAAUUUCUGCCACGUUGUGAAACGACCGUGUGCUGUGGGUACACCUGCGUGUGCUGGCUUUGUUUUGUCGGUCUGUUUACUGUCCGACACCUCCCAAGCCUCCUGAAACGUCUCCGAGCUGAGACCCCGAUGCCCCGGUGCCACCAGCACACAUACCUGGUGUCACAGAACCAGCUGCAUCCUGGCUGCUCGGGAGACCAGACUCGGGUGCAGACACCGGGACCGUGGACAGUUUGACCGUGGUGACGUGACCCUCUGACAUGGCCCAGGUACGGGCUCGGGCUCUGAGCGUGAGCGGGUGUCUGCGUCCUUCGCUGGCAUUAAGGAUUGGACGGGGAGCUGUUGGAAGUGAUCUUCGCACAGACGGGCUUGAACGCGAAGUCGCCUCGGAAGAGAACAGACUUUUAAAACCAUGGAAAGAGACAGUGUCCUCGGAAUACCAUUUUUGCCUGAGGAUUGACUAAGUCUGAGACAAACCUCCAAUGAGAGAUGUGCAAAAACUGCCUUUUUCCCUUAAUUCAACUUGAGCUGUUGUUUUUUUUAACUUGCAACCGAGUGUCCAAAUAGAUUAUAUGCCCUCAAUAUAAAUUCUCCCCACUUAAGAACUGGACUGGACAAGUUUGGCCACGUGGCCCCUCUGAUUUCAGAUGAACAACUUCCCGACCCUGUGGGUCACUUCUGGUGGUGCCCGGAUUGCCACGUUCGGCCGCACUCACAAUGGGACUCAGUUCUGAUUAACAGUAGUGAUGUUACAAGAACGAAGACUGAGAAGGGAGCCGAGCAGGGAAUGUUCCAGAGUCACGGGAGUCAGACACGCCCCCUGUCUCCAUGGUGAUGAAUCUGGGAGGGAAUGUGCAGGGCAGUGUGGGUGCGAGGCUGCAGAGCCCGGUCAGAGGCCCCUGCACUCAGGGACGACGUUGUCCCCUACAGAGACAACGGCUCUUACGCCAGGGCUCUCGGGCCACAAGGCGACCCUGCGUCCCCAGACGGGCAGUGGUCCUGCAGGGGCCGAUAACAUAACAUCCGAAUCGCCCACCCACUGGACUGAGAGGCAAGGACGUCAGCACUGACCCCGCCUUUCUCGGCCCUUCGCACUGGGACCCCUCCCGGUUCGGUACACUAGUGAGGGUGGGCCGCACGGCCAUGUUUUCAUCCCACCAGCCGAACGGAGGUGCUGUGAGGCUCCAGCGUCGUGGACUCAGCUACGAGCCCUGGCCACCUCGUGUCCACUCGCCUGCCACCUUCCCCAUCGUGCAGGGUCGGCUGCGUCUGAACAGAGUUUAAAACCACGUCCCCACAGAAACCUGCACACAGACGCUCACGGCACCUCUUCCAUCAUCGACAAAACUUGUUACCGACCAGGACGCCCUUCAGCAGGUGGUGGUGGAUGACCCGGGUCCGUGCAGACGACGGGGUCUCGUUCUGCACUGAAACAAAGAACCACGAGCCACGAAAAGACGCGGGAACGUUACAGAAGUGGGAGGAGGGAAGCUGGGAGGAGGACGCCGGGCAGUGACUCUCCUCGCAAGGGGCCGGUCACCGCCUCUGACCAAACGUCCAGUGUGGUUUCCCACUGCCACCAGCUGUCCAGGCGGGCGCCUCAGGAACUGUCUACACGGCGCCAGAGGCAUGAGAAGAAUUAAGUCUUAAAGCGCAUCUGCCGUUCUUAAUAUCCAGCUCACUCUGACCGUCAUGUCGAUACGAUCUUUUACAUAAGUGACUUAGAAAAAAACCCCCACUAUCUGAAAUUGUAUUCAUUUGUGGUCAUU